rnacentral:lncRNA from 1 species
UAAUGAGCAGCUAGUAGUCUCAUUUAGGGACAUUCACCUGCCUGGGCACAGUGGAGAUGAUUAGAUGAGAACCGGCCCUUUCAGGUUAGUACCCAAGGAUCCACUUUCUAAAAGGAGAGUGCCUGCACAGAUUAAUUUUUGAGCCAAGCUGGUCUUGCAAGGCUGGGUCUCUUCCCUCACUCUGCUCUUACUGCAUCCUCCACUGCAAAGCACCAGGCCGGGACGAGCAGAGGCAGACAUUGAAGCAAGAGUUUCUGGGAGGUGCUCUGUAGCUCCAUUAUCAUGACUGCUGUUUGAACGCUGUACUGUAGAAGGCACAGACUGAGAUGCUGGAUCAACUGCGCAUGCCUGUCUUUGUGACCGGCUGCUAUCGAUCCUUCCGAGCCCGUGUGCCACGCUGGAAAGCUGCAUCUAAGAGUUAAGAUUUACUGGCUUAAAAGCGUGUGUGUCGUGGGAUUGCGCGGUGGCUCAGUAAAUUGUGAGAAUUCAAUGUGAACAUCUUUGAAAUGCAGUUUCAAAUCUCCCACACGCUGACAAGAGCCACGUGAACCAUUGUGCAGCACUGCACCCAUUUGACAGAUGAGAGCAUGGAUACCUAACCGGAGCCUGGCAGGUCUUGGACAGCAGAGGCCACCCUGCAUCUGACACCAUCUCUUGUAAUCCAUGACUUCUCUUCCUGCCUCCAUGAAUCUCCAGAUAACAGAUUCCUGCCCUCCUAAAAGAUGGGAACUGACAUCCUAGCAGGCUCCUGGGCGAUGCAGAUGCUGGCAUUCUGGGCACUGCCCUUUGGAAAGCUAUGAUGACCACUGAAGCAGAACAGACCAAAGCAAAGAGGUGGGAAAGUCGCGAGAAGAUACAGGACUGGCUGGGAUACAUCAGGAAGAGGAGCUGCGAUGGAUGGGACUUCAAAUGGAAGUUGGUGAUUAUAUCCGUCCCAGCACCUCCCGCCUUGCAAGAGAGGCCUUAUAAAUCCUGGUCACAAGGAAGGGAAACAGAAGCUCAAGGAAGAGAGAGCCAUGGCUUCCUAGGUGUCAGUGAAGACCCAGACGCUGAAACUAUAACCGCCUAGUUCAGAAACCUAUACUUUGCUUGACCACAAUCCAAGCAGGGGGUGGGGAUGGGAUGUUUUUCUGCAGGGCUGGACAUAGAGUCAGUGUUCAGAGCACAUUGUUGGAGAGAGGAAGGAUGGGUGAGUGAAUAAGUGAAGAAAUGAAUGAGAGAACAGAACCACUUUGAGAGCCUGGAAACCGGGACCUCACGCUCUGUGACCUCACGCUCCAACUUCCCCUCCUCCCCGAGUCUGAUCUGAAAGGUGACCCCCGUUCCUCUCGCCCAGGUGAUAAAGCCAGGUGCAGGUGCACCUGUUACCCAAACCUGAUAUCCAAAUAGGAAGUAAGGCUGAGAUAAGGCUGUGGAGGGCAGUGCCUGGAAUCACGGGGUUGGGCUGGCCAUUGGCUUGAUGCCACAAGUGUCCACCGAGCCUCUCCUAAAGGUUGAGCUCUAUGCCAGGUUCCUUCAGGGUGAGGCAGGAAGCCACGCAGCUCCUGACCUCCAACAGCUUAUGGAAAAAAAAAAUACUUACAAACAGGAUGUGGGUCGGGCAAAGGGAGAAGUGUGAAGCAGGUGGCCAUUGCUCCCUGACAGCUCCAACAGGGAGUUGGGACUGAGAGAUGAGAAGAAAUGAGGCAGUAGUUAGUGAUGCCAGGGGAGGGGCCUGACCCUUGCACUGCCAUUGCUGAGGAAUAAGAGGUCCUUAAAGUUUAGCUCCUCAGACCCAGACCCCUCCCCAGUCCUCCUAC